rnacentral:rRNA from 1 species
UGGGGAAUUUUGCACAAUGGGGGGAACCUUGAUGCAGCGACGCCGCGUGAGGGAUGGAGGCCUUCGGGUUGUGAACCUCUUUCGCUCGUGUGCAAGCCGCUAUUUGGGUAGUGGUGAGUGUAGCGGGUAAAGAAGCGCCGGCUAACUACGUGCCAGCAGCCGCGGUAAUACGUAGGGCGCGAGCGUUGUCCGGAUUUGUUGGGCGUAAAGGGCUUGUAGGCGGUUUGCCGCGCCUGUCGUGUAAUCCUCUGGCUUAACUGGGGGUGUGCGGUGGGUACGGGCAGGCUUGAGUGCGGUAGGGGAGGUUGGAAUUCCUGGUGUAGCGGUGGAAUGCGCAGAUAUCAGGAGGAACACCGGUGGCGAAGGCGGGUCUCUGGGCCGUUACUGACGCUGAGGAGCGAAAGCGUGGGGAGCGAACAGG